UUAUGUGAUCGUCUCUCGCAUAUCAAUAAGCGGAGGAAAAGAAACUAACAAGGAUUCCCCUAGUAACGGCGAGUGAAGCGGGAAGAGCUCAAAUUUGAAAUCUUAAAGGGUUUCCCUUUACGAAUUGUAGUUUAAAGAAGUGUUUUCUAUUGAGGUUUUGGUAAAAGUUCUUUGGAAUAGGACAUCAUAGAGGGUGAGAAUCCCGUAUUUGACCUUUACUUUCAACUUUGUGAUACACUUUCAAAGAGGUCGGAUUGUUUGGGAAUGCAGUCCAAAAUGGGUGGUAAAUUUCAUCUAAAGCUAAAUAUUGGCGAGAGACCGAUAGCGAACAAGUACCGUGAGGGAAAGAUGAAAAGAACUUUGAAAAGAGAGUUAAACAGUACGUGAAAUCGUCAAAAGGGAAGCGUUUGACACCAGUGUUGUUUUUCUGAAAAUCAAUUAAAGAACUGUUUAUGCUAAGUUGUUUAGACUUUAUCAGCUAAUCUGUUAGUUUUGAGCUUUUCUUUAAUGCACUUUUCAGUUAACAAGUCAACAUCAAUUUCUUUUGCUGUAAAAAAGCUUGAGGAAGGUGGCUUGAGAUUCGUCUUAAGUGUUUAUAGCCUCUUGCCUAUGCAGUCGGAGAGAUUGAGGUCUGCAGCGUAGAUCCUUCGGGGCUAAAUGCAUUUGUGCUAAGUUAUAACAUUUUAUAGACAACUUGUUGACUAUGAUUUGUCUUGUAGCUUACUCGCUUAUGUUAUUUUACCUACGCUUAGGAUGUUGAAGUCAUCGUAUCGCGC
rnacentral:rRNA from 1 species